rnacentral:misc_RNA from 1 species
GUGAAUUGAAUAUGUUAGCGGACCUCUUCGGAGUCCCUAGCAUCAAAUCAUAUCCAUAACACCUGUGAACUGUAAGGCUGUCUUGAAAACGAAAGUGAUUAGAGCGCCUGCCCAUUUUAUACAAACAUUAAAGUAACAAACAUAGUCUUAUUAUAAUCUAAUA